rnacentral:rRNA from 1 species
GGAGGGGCUUUCGCUAGAGCGAGCGGAGGAGGUGCGAAAAAAGGAAGGUAAGGAGGGAGGGGCGACGGGGUUAUUUAUUAUUUUUGGGUUGGGGGUGCGGCUUAAGGAAGCGAGCUAAGCUAAAGGAGCGGUUAAGUGCCCCCGGCGAUCACGGCCCCCGCGCUAGCCGCCACUCUAAGCAGCGGCCCGCCUUUACCAACGGCACCGCCGGCUCCCGGGCUAGGCGCGGCUGCGGCACGGCGGCCGCCGCCGGCCCCGCCCGCGCCUCUCCCGGCUACGCCGCCGGCGCCCUCCGCGGCGCCGCCGGUUCCGGUCCCUCCUGCUCCAGUCCCUCAUGUUCUCACUGCAGUCCUUCGAGCUCCUCGACAAGUUCUUCGACUUGGGGAGGCGCCUCCUCAAGCACGGCGAGAGGGCGGCGGUCCCCCUGCCGCGGGCGGCGGACAGCCGUCUGCGCGGGCAGAAGCAGAGCGGGCGCUAGCUGAUGAUGCGCGGGGUGGUGGGCAAGGUCGUAGUCGUCUACGUGCACGACGUCCACCAGCCACCGCCUCCGCCUCCCCCGUCCCUGAGGUCGUCGCUGCCUAGGCGGUUGCCGGUCGGCUUAGCUGCCUCUUCCUUACCGAAGUUGGUCCCCUCUGCAUCCUACCCUCAAGCCGGGGCCGCUUGACUAUCCCUCCUAUCACAUGCCGCUUGACAGAUACAGAGUCUGUAACUAGUUGUACAGUGACUUGUCUUUGAACGACUCCAAAAGAGUUUGACACCAGUUCACCAUCUAACGGCAUAGACACCACUAGGUUUGAGUCACUACGCAAAACGAAAAUAGCUCAAGCGACUACUACAGCCACGUUCUCGUCGAAAUUGCGAACCACCUUGGUAAGAACCAAAAAUAGGACAGUCUCAAGACGGUAGAUUCUGACGAUAAAACGGACACUUGGGGUUUAAAGAAGGAGCUUGCCUCCUACUCUUUCUUUACCAUAGUUCCUGACACAUGACAUGAUUGUAACUGUUUUUACAAGGUCUCCUACAACACUUCUUAAAGAAACUCCCUUAAACACCCCUCCAACGAGCUGACUCCGACGAGCCACUAAUACACGUACGGUGUACGUAACGGAAACAACUCAAACAAGUCCGUCUUCCUCGUUAAAACCGGGACUUGACGUCACCGUACGAAGAACCGAGCGAAGGACAGUCCCACUCGGGUAGGUUCUGGGGUCACGCAGGGGCAAGCGGAGCACGCUACAGCGUGACUUAGACAGAGAGCAGACUUCGGCCGCAGGUCCCGUCGUUAAGGCCCGUUGUUUGGGGAUCAGCACCGGAAUCUCUGACAACGCAGCGCCUAGUCAUUGACAGCAACUUCUCUCACUCACAAUGGCAAAACCAAUAGAUCCGAUCUUCUUCCGGGAAGGAACGACUAGUCUACUCUCUGGGUAGAGACGGAAGCUGUCCGUAACCUUGGUAUUACAGAUACCGAACAAGAUAAAGCCUGAAGUAAGAGUGACUACAACUACACGCACAUUGUAUUCGAACGACGUGAUACGUACGAUACU